rnacentral:rRNA from 1 species
GACGAACGCUGGCGGCGUGCCUAAUAUAUGCAAGUCGAACGCUUCUUUUUCACCGAACUUCGGUUCAUCGAAAAAGAGGAGUGGCGAACGGGUGAGUAACACGUGGGUAACCUGCCCAUCAGAAGGGGAUAACACUUGGAAACAGGUGCUAAUACCGUAUAAUGCUUUUUCUCGCAUGAGAGCAAGCUGAAAGGCGCUUUUGCGUCACUGAUGGAUGGACCCGCGGUGCAUUAGCUAGUUGGUGAGGUAACGGCUCACCAAGGCCACGAUGCAUAGCCGACCUGAGAGGGUGAUCGGCCACACUGGGACUGAGACACGGCCCAGACUCCUACGGGAGGCAGCAGUAGGGAAUCUUCGGCAAUGGACGAAAGUCUGACCGAGCAACGCCGCGUGAGUGAAGAAGGUUUUCGGAUCGUAAAACUCUGUUGUUAGAGAAGAACAAGGAUGAGAGUAAAAUGUUCAUCCCUUGACGUAUCUAACCAGAAAGCCACGCA